GGGCGGGGCCGGGCCGAGGGGGCCGAAGUGCGCUGCAACUCUGAGCCCCGCCCCAGAGCUGCAAAUCUAGAGUGGCGGAGGGAGCGUGCGCACACGCCCCACAGACCCUGAGUUUGGGAUGCGGAAGGUUUGGGUGCCCUCCCGGCCCCACCCGGUGCACGAGCUCACGCCGGCGGCGGACCCGGAACUGGUGCCUACAGCCGGCCAAGUGCGGGCAGGCCCUGCGCCGAGAGCGCCCAGCGAGCGGAACCUGACUUGGAGUCCCAGCGCUGCUGCUUUCUCCAGAGGGACUUGGAGCACGUCACUCCACCUGAGCUGGGUCUGAUCCUCAGAAUUCAAGAGCUUCAGGCUACCUUUUUUAUUGAGUACCUGCUGAGUACCAGGCACGAAAAGAUGACAGCAGCAUUACCUUGGUGAAUACAAGUCGAAGGAGCUCUACACCAUCAUUGCUUGAAGGUUCUGCAGGUAUCUGAAGUUUGGACAAAGAUCACAUAGCUGCUUCAGCAGAGAGCCAGAAUUUGGAUGGAGGUCUGUCUGAUCCCAAAGCCCAUGUUUGUUUGUUUGUUUGUUUGUUUUAAAACUCCUCCACCUUGACAGCAAACAAAGAGGUGUUUAGAUGUCUUCAGUGGUGAUCAUAAUGAUGAUAGACUCUAGGGUCAUGUAUAAUUUUCUCUGGGGCACAUCUUGCUCUAUAUUACUACAGAAAUUCCACCACUUCCCACAAACCAGUGAAGUUGACUAUAAUGACACCCUGUAAUCCUUGUUUUUAUGUCAACAUCAUUCCCAAGCAUUCAAAGAAGGGUAGUUAAAAUUAUUACAUUUUUUCCAGCCUGCAACAUCAGUGUUUAUCAGUCUGGGAAAAGUCUUUUGGGACUGUGCCAUAAAUGUAUAGAUAAUCUUCCUUCUCCGUCCUCUCCUUCCUUCCUACUCAACCAUUCCAGUCAUAAGUUGUGCUCUAUGGUUCUCUUACUUGAAUAAUUGCAUCUUCUUACCCCCUGCAGUUGUGAAGGAACAGAUACCCAAACCUCCUUCUAUAUCCUAGUUUCUUCAUCUGAAAAAAGAUUGUUUUAGUCAUCACUGAGACAUAAUAUAAGAGGAGAGGCUUAACUUGGUUCAUGGUUUCAAGCCAUUCAGUCCAUUCAGUUCUAAGGCAGAUAUAUCAUGGUGGACGGAUGUGGCCAGACUACUUAUGGCAGAGCAAAGCUGCUUAUGGCAUUUGGAAAGCAGCGCAGGGAACAGUGUCACUGAUGAAGGGUUGAGGGAACAAAUAUAGUAGCCAGGGUCAUGCUUCCAUUACCUAACACCCAGAUUGGUGUUCCACCAAUCCCCUGGAUGACUCCCAAGCCAAUCAAGUUGAUACAAUCAAGCUUAACCUUCACAGGAUGUAAGAUACCUACCAUUGUUGUUCAAUAAAAUGGGCAAUAAACUAGUGCCUUUCAUCCACUAUUCAUUUAUAUGGAUGGUCACUCUUUUGGAACCCCAGUCUUCCUUUUUGAUACCAAAUGAUUCUUGAUACUUUGUAAAUACAUUACCAAUCUUGUAAUAUUAUCCAUGUAUUUUAUACCUGAUUAUCAAUGUCAGCUUUGCAUAUCUUUGAAUUUACACUCCACAUAGGGCAGAAAAUUUGUGGUUCCUAAAUAUUUAUUGGUCUCAUGAACCAUGUUAUUCAUUGUCUUCCAACCACAAUAAGAAAUCACUGAGCACUUUCUAUCUUAUGAUCUUUGUGCAAAGAGACUCCUGGAAUAAGAUUUUAUUUCUGCACAUGAGGAC
ensembl:lncRNA